rnacentral:rRNA from 1 species
CGCAAUGCUAGUCAGGCGG